rnacentral:rRNA from 1 species
GUAGGGAAUAUUGGACAAUGGGCGCAAGCCUGAUCCAGCCAUGCCGCGUGAGUGAUGAAGGCCUUAGGGUUGUAAAGCUCUUUCAGUGGGGACGAUAAUGACGGUACCCACAGAAGAAGCCCCGGCUAACUUCGUGCCAGCAGCCGCGGUAAUACGAAGGGGGCUAGCGUUGUUCGGAUUUACUGGGCGUAAAGCGCACGUAGGCGGAUCGUUAAGUCGGGGGUGAAAUCCUGGAGCUCAACUCCAGAACUGCCUUCGAUACUGGCGAUCUUGAGUCCGGAAGAGGUGAGUGGAACUCCUAGUGUAGAGGUGGAAUUCGUAGAUAUUAGGAAGAACACCAGUGGCGAAGGCGGCUCACUGGUCCGGUACUGACGCUGAGGUGCGAAAGCGUGGGGAGCAAACAGGAUUAGAUACCCGGGUAGUCC